rnacentral:lncRNA from 10 species
CCUGGACUGUUGAUUCAGGAAACAGCCAGCUCCUUCCCUUCCAGCCUCCGGCACCCUGAGAACUGGGUGUGAGUGCUGAUUUCUCCACCUGUCUUAUUUCUUAAUAUCUGCAACCAGCUCAGAGCCAGGGAUAAGUCAAGACUCCACCAGCCCAUGUAUGGCUGCCCGGCUGCCCCCAGCCUUGCCCUCAGUUCUUCCCCGAGGGCAUGUCCUGUUGAGAGCCGGUUUCACCUGUGCAGUGUGGCCUGAUGGCCCAGCACCCAGGAGCUCUGCGCACCCUGCCGCCAUGGGCCAUCCGUCCCCAGACCUCUUCCCACAGGGUCACUGUGGUCCACCGUCCUGCCCUCGGGGAAUCUCAGCCUCCCUCUCACAGGUGCACACAUGGGGAGCAGCCAAGGAUUUCUGCAGAAAAAUUCACUCCAGAGGUCAGCAGCUAGAAGCACAAAUGGAGAGUGAGUGAGCACGAGCGCCUCGUGGACUCAGCCCUCCCAGACUUUGGCUGGGUGUAUCCCUACUACAGUGAGAUGUGAACUCUGGAACCUCUCAAGCUACAAGCCAUUCCCCACAGGAUUAUCUGCCUUCACUUUUCUAAUGUAACAACUGCUUUCCAAGGCAGUGUAGCACAGGUGAUUAAGAGUGGAUACUGCUGCAAGAGUGCCUGGAUUUCGAAGCUGGCUCUACUACUUACUGGCUGUGCAAUCUUGCGCAAGCCACUUAACCUGUCUGUGGUUCAGUUCCCUUAGCUAUAAAAAGGAGACAGAAAUAGUACCUACCUCACACGUUGCUAUGAGGAUUAAUUGAAAUAAUAUAAAUAGAAAGCACCAAGAAUAGUGUGGCACAGAGAGUAUUAUGUAAGUGUAUGCUAUAAUUAUUAAUGAUACCUUCUAUUUUCAUAAGUGUUUUUCCCUUUAUUAAGAGUUUUGUAAAGGAAUUAAUCUUGUAUAGUUCAUACCUGUGUUCUUCCAUUGCAUAGAGCAUAGCUUUUAUUUGCUAUAGCAAAUAACAUUUUUGCAAAUAGCAAAGAAAAUUUUGUUGAAUAAAUAAAUGAGUGAAUGAAUUCCUAUAUUACUAGACACGGGCAAAAAUGUUUUAAGGUGCCAGCAUCAUACCAAGAAACACAGAUGUCAGAAGUAGACACAGAGCUUUCU